CGAACGCUGGCGGCGUGCUUAACACAUGCAAGUCGAACGGUGACAUCGGGGCUUGCCCCGGUCGAUCAGUGGCGAACGGGUGAGUAACACGUGAGUAACCUGCCCCAGACUUCGGGAUAACUUCGGGAAAUCGGAGCUAAUACCGAAUACGAGACGUACCCGCAUGGGUAGUGUCUGGAAAGAUUUAUCGGUCUGGGAUGGACUCGCGGCCUAUCAGCUUGUUGGUGAGGUAAUGGCUCACCAAGGCGACGACGGGUAGCCGGCCUGAGAGGGCGACCGGCCACACUGGGACUGAGAUACGGCCCAGACUCCUACGGGAGGCAGCAGUGGGGAAUAUUGCACAAUGGGCGAAAGCCUGAUGCAGCGACGCCGCGUGAGGGAUGAAGGGCUUCGGGUUGUAAACCUCUUUCAGCAGGGAAGAAGCGAAAGUGACGGUACCUGCAAAAGAAGCGCCGGCUAACUACGUGCCAGCAGCCGCGGUAAUACGUAGGGCGCAAGCGUUGUCCGGAAUUAUUGGGCGUAAAGAGCUCGUAGGCGGUUUGUCACGCCUGCUGUGAAAACUCGAGGCUCAACCUCGGGCUUGCAGUGGGAACGGGCAGACUAGAGUGCGGUAGGGGAGACUGGAAUUCCUGGUGUAGCGGUGGAAUGCCCAGAUAUCAGGAGGAACACCGAUGGAGAAGGCAGGUCUCUGGGCCGCAACUGACGCUGACGAGCGCAAGCCUGGGGAGCGGAACAGGAUUAGAUACCCUGGGUAGCCCCAUGCCGUAAACCUUUGGGCACUAGGGUGUGGGGGCUCCAUUCACACGAAGUUUCCGGAC
rnacentral:rRNA from 1 species